rnacentral:rRNA from 1 species
AGAGUUUGAUCCUGGCUCAGGAUGAACGCUGGCGGCGUGCUUAACACAUGCAAGUCGAGCGAAGCACCUUCGGGUGACUGAGCGGCGGACGGGUGAGUAACGCGUGGGUAACCUGCCUCAUACAGGGGGAUAACAGUUGGAAACGGCUGCUAAUACCGCAUAAGCGCACGGUACCGCAUGGUACAGUGUGAAAAACUCCGGUGGUAUGAGAUGGACCCGCGUCUGAUUAGCUAGUUGGUGGGGUAACGGCCUACCAAGGCGACGAUCAGUAGCCGACCUGAGAGGGUGACCGGCCACAUUGGGACCGAGACACGGCCCAAACUCCUACGGGAGGCAGCAGUGGGGAAUAUUGCACAAUGGGCGAAAGCCUGAUGCAGCGACGCCGCGUGAAGGAAGAAGUAUUUCGGUAUGUAAACUUCUAUCAGCAGGGAAGAAAAUGACGGUACCUGACUAAGAAGCCCCGGCUAACUACGUGCCAGCAGCCGCGGUAAUACGUAGGGGGCAAGCGUUAUCCGGAUUUACUGGGUGUAAAGGGAGCGUAGACGGAAUGGCAAGUCUGAUGUGAAAACCCAGGGCUCAACCUUGGGACUGCAUUGGAAACUGCUAUUCUAGAGUGUCGGAGGGGUAAGUGGAAUUCCUAGUGUAGCGGUGAAAUGCGUAGAUAUUAGGAGGAACACCAGUGGCGAAGGCGGCUUACUGGACGAUAACUGACGUUGAGGCUCGAAAGCGUGGGGAGCAAACAGGAUUAGAUACCCUGGUAGUCCACGCUGUAAACGAUGAAUGCUAGGUGUGGGGGCGUAAGCUUCCGUGUCGCAGUUAACACAAUAAGCAUUCCACCUGGGGAGUACGGCCGCAAGGUUGAAACUCAAAGGAAUUGACGGGAGCCCGCACAAGCAGUGGAGUAUGUGGUUUAAUUCGACGCAACGCGAAGAACCUUACCAGGAUUUGACAUCCAGAGAACCCGACGUAAUGGUUGGGGUGCCCUUCGGGGAAUUCUGAGACAGGUGGUGCAUGGUUGUCGUCAGCUCGUGUCGUGAGAUGUUGGGUUAAGUCCCGCAACGAGCGCAACCCUUACGUUUAGUUGCUACGCAAGAGCACUCUAGACGGACUGCCGUUGACAAAACGGAGGAAGGCGGGGAUGACGUCAAAUCAUCAUGCCCCUUACAUUCUGGGCUACACACGUACUACAAUGGCGAAAACAAAGGGAAGCAAUACCGCGAGGUGGAGCAAACCCCAUAAAAAUCGUCCCAGUUCGGACUGCAGGCUGCAACCCGCCUGCACGAAGUUGGAAUUGCUAGUAAUCGCAGAUCAGCAUGCCGCGGUGAAUACGUUCUCGGGCUUUGCACACACCGCCCGUCA